rnacentral:rRNA from 1 species
AUGCAAGUCGAACGGUGAAAGCGGAGCUUGCUCUGCUGGAUCAGUGGCGAACGGGUGAGUAACACGUGAGCAAUCUGCCCCUGACUCUGGGAUAAGCGCUGGAAACGGCGUCUAAUACUGGAUACGAGCUGCGAAGGCAUCUUCAGCAGCUGGAAAGAACUUCGGUCAGGGAUGAGCUCGCGGCCUAUCAGCUUGUUGGUGAGGUAACGGCUCACCAAGGCGUCGACGGGUAGCCGGCCUGAGAGGGUGACCGGCCACACUGGGACUGAGACACGGCCCAGACUCCUACGGGAGGCAGCAGUGGGGAAUAUUGCACAAUGGGCGCAAGCCUGAUGCAGCAACGCCGCGUGAGGGACGACGGCCUUCGGGUUGUAAACCUCUUUUAGCAGGGAAGAAGCGAAAGUGACGGUACCUGCAGAAAAAGCGCCGGCUAACUACGUGCCAGCAGCCGCGGUAAUACGUAGGGCGCAAGCGUUAUCCGGAAUUAUUGGGCGUAAAGAGCUCGUAGGCGGUUUGUCGCGUCUGCUGUGAAAACCCGAGGCUCAACCUCGGGCCUGCAGUGGGUACGGGCAGACUAGAGUGCGGUAGGGGAGAUUGGAAUUCCUGGUGUAGCGGUGGAAUGCGCAGAUAUCAGGAGGAACACCGAUGGCGAAGGCAGAUCUCUGGGCCGUAACUGACGCUGAGGAGCGAAAGGGUGGGGAGCAAACAGGCUUAGAUACCCUGGUAGUCCACCCCGUAAACGUUGGGAACUAGUUGUGGGGUCCAUUCCACGGAUUCCGUGACGCAGCUAACGCAUUAAGUUCCCCGCCUGGGGAGUACGGCCGCAAGGCUAAAACUCAAAGGAAUUGACUGG